AUCAUCUCUGUUGUGCAGGACCGGGAACCGGUGCGAAAGAAAAAAUCUGUUCUUAUCAGUUUAAUAUCUGAUACGUCCCCCAUCCGGGGACUACAUAUUAAAUGGAUUUUUAGAUCACGGAGCUGGAGCCGGGGCUUGCUCCGUCCACUCCAUGCAUCGGCCUGGUAUUAAAUGUUGUGUGAAAAAGAA
ensembl:snRNA U2 U2 spliceosomal RNA